AUUGUGAAGGUGUGGGAUGACAUGAUAAUUGAGUCUGCUCUUGUAACAUACUACAAUUCAAGCCUUCCACGCAUGAUACAUGCCCUUCAAACCAAACUCAAGAACGGCUGGUCAAAUGAUGUUCCUGCGUGGGCAUCAUGUCAAUUUAACCAAGCGACCUGCCCAAAUCUGUAUGCUUCUGAAAGCAUUGAUCUUGCCUGCAAGUAUGCUUACAGGAACGCCACCGCAGGGACUA